GAUCCUGGCUCAGGAUGAACGCUAGCUACAGGCUUAACACAUGCAAGUCGAGGGGAAACGACAUCGAAAGCUUGCUUUGAUGGGCGUCGACCGGCGCACGGGUGAGUAACGCGUAUCCAACCUGCCCACCACUUGGGGAUAACCUUGCGAAAGUAAGACUAAUACCCAAUGAUAUCCCACGAAGGCAUCCGAAUGGGAUUAAAGAUUUAUCGGUGAUGGAUGGGGAUGCGUCUGAUUAGCUUGUUGGCGGGGUAACGGCCCACCAAGGCAACGAUCAGUAGGGGUUCUGAGAGGAAGGUCCCCCACAUUGGAACUGAGACACGGUCCAAACUCCUACGGGAGGCAGCAGUGAGGAAUAUUGGUCAAUGGGCGAGAGCCUGAACCAGCCAAGUAGCGUGCAGGAUGACGGCCCUAUGGGUUGUAAACUGCUUUUAUAAGGGAAUAAAGUGGGUCUCGUGAGACUUUUUGCAUGUACCUUAUGAAUAAGGACCGGCUAAUUCCGUG
rnacentral:rRNA from 1 species